UUACGCCCAUAUCAUGUUCAAACACCGCUUCCCGUGGGAUCAUCGAAGUUAAGCAAAAUCGAGCUCGGUCAGUACCUGGAUAGGUUACCGCUUAGGAAUACCCG